CGCCGCCGCAAUCUUCAGCAGAGUAAGACAAAGCUUACUUUAGCCACAACUUCACCGUUGAGAAAACACAGUAUAUGAUUGCCCAUCAUAACGUUUAGGGUUAGGGUGUCAUGAAAAAACCCCAUCAAACAUCAACACAAUAUAUCUAUUCUAUAUAUAUCUACAACAGACUUGGAUAGUCGUGUGCAAGAAUAACCUAUUUACGUGGCUUAAAACAAGUAAUUUAACAGAUAUUUCUUUCAUAGACAGUCCCGCAAAGCACGCUGGGAUGUGCGCCUAUCGACUCUACAUUAUGAAGAGGACAAGGAACUGCUGAUUAUGAUGCGGGCGAGGGAGGAUGUCAAUUAAGGGCCUCAAUUCUUUCAUUUCUUCUCCUUCAAAAUUAUUUGUAUGUCAAUCUUGGCUAUGUUAUUUGUAUCAUGUGUCAUUUGUGUGCUCUCAACAUACACUUGUCAGUCCCAAAUACAGUCAACUUCAUCUAUGUAUGUCCGUCACAGGCCACCGUACUGAUCCGCCAGUCAGCGAUGACGUUACGUGAAAUACAACUAAUCAAAUAAAAACUCUUUUUUCACAGCACCCUACGAACGGUGCCCAAGGUGCUUCAGGAAAGUAUUAGAAAGUAUUUAAGUACUUAGAAAGUAUUAUUUCUCUUGUUAUAGUGUGUAAAAUCAUUGUGAAACACGACGUCACAUCCGCGCUGAAACUUCCUGUUUGCACUUCCUGGUUUCGUCCGGAACAUGGCGCCGACCAUCCCAAUCACGCUGUGUCAAUCUGUUUGCAGCCAAGCUCAAGUAUUCUACAGGGAAUGCCGUAAGCAUGUGUUUGGCCAGCUAUGUCGGCCGGGUUGAGCGUGAACCAGGAAGUGCGGGGAUCUCGUGUGUUCUCUCGUUGCUGGGUAGUCGAAAAAGAAAGUUGCCGGGAAGCAGCAGGCAACCGUCUUUCUUUCCCUGACGAAAUCAGGCCGCCCCUUACCACGCAUCGUUUUCAUUGGCGCCAACUUCAUUCGGUAUCGAGUCGGCGUUCCAACACCCUGACGGAGAACACCGGAGUUGCCAUCUAACUCUGACGCCACACAAGCAAUGCUACAAGAUGAAAAGCCGCUUGGCGCUUAACAGCCCGUGGGAUCCCUCUGCAUCCAUCUCCACAUGAGCUCCAAAUCGUCAUGUGAUGCCAUACGUUCUCCAGUGGACUGUUUCACCUAUUGCACGCACAAGACGCCAUUUUCUGGAGCUUCAACCUUUUGCGUCCAUCAGCAGUCUGUCGGCCCCCGGGGAAGGACUCAUGUAACCGUGUUGGCACACCAUCAACAACAUGGCCUCGGCGUUCUUCACAGGUGACCACCAGAUGGCGGAAAUUCCCAAGUAUAGUUGCAGUAAUUUCAAGUGUCCACUAGAUGGCGGAAUAUCCCAAGGUGACCACCAGAUGGCGGAAUACCCCAAGGUAAGUUGGGUUAGGGCUAGGGCUAGGG